GACAGAGUGCCGGAGUGGUUAACGGGAAAGACUUGAAUCCCUCACAUGAUUCAGCAAUCUUUUGACUUAGGUCGCGCAGGUUCGAAUCCUGUCUCUGUCG
rfam:Pochonia chlamydosporia 170 chromosome 7, whole genome shotgun sequence.